GCUGGCGGCAGGCCUAACACAUGCAAGUCGAGCGAUGAAGCACCUUCGGGUGUGGAUUAGCGGCGGACGGGUGAGUAACGCGUGGGAACGUGCCCUGGGGUAAGGAACAACAGUUGGAAACGACUGCUAAUACCUUACUGAUUCUCUUCGGAGACAAAGAUUUAUCGCCCUGGGAUCGGCCCGCGUUGGAUUAGGUAGUUGGUGGGGUAAUGGCCUACCAAGCCUACGAUCCAUAGCUGGUUUGAGAGGAUGAUCAGCCACACUGGGACUGAGACACGGCCCAGACUCCUACGGGAGGCAGCAGUGGGGAAUCUUAGACAAUGGGGGAAACCCUGAUCUAGCCAUGCCGCGUGAGCGAUGAAGGCCUUAGGGUUGUAAAGCUCUUUCACCGGUGAAGAUAAUGACGGUAGCCGGA
rnacentral:rRNA from 1 species